UUCCUUCUGUUUUGUUGGUAGGUAAUAAAGGCGAAUAUACUAGAAGAGGUACACAAUCAGCUGAGUGAUCUAUUAGACAAGACCUUGGAAGAAGCAGCUCAUUCCAAACCCCAGCAAUUGAGCGUCAUCCCAGCAAAGCAGGAAAGCAGAGAGAAGGGUCAGCUACUGAAGAAGAAAGUCUUUGUCCCUCAGUGGUCCUUGUUUGACACAUUUCUGGAGGUGGAACAUUUCCGCACAAUCCAUCACAUAUUUGUGGCCAUGCUCUGUAUCUUUGUCCUCAAACAAAUCACUGUGGAUUCCAUCGAUGAAGGACGGUAUGAUUCAGAAG